AUUGAACGCUGGCGGCAUGCCUAACACAUGCAAGUCGAACGGCAGCACAGGUAGCAAUACCGGGUGGCGAGUGGCGGACGGGUGAGUAAUGCAUCGGGAUCUACCCAGACGUGGGGGAUAACCUCGGGAAACCGGGACUAAUACCGCAUACGUCCUACGGGAGAAAGCGGGGGCUCUUCGGACCUCGCGCGGCUGGACGAACCGAUGUGCGAUUAGCUAGUUGGAGGGGUAAUGGCCCACCAAGGCGACGAUCGCUAGCUGGUCUGAGAGGAUGAUCAGCCACACUGGGACUGAGACACGGCCCAGACUCCUACGGGAGGCAGCAGUGGGGAAUAUUGGACAAUGGGCGCAAGCCUGAUCCAGCAAUGCCGCGUGUGUGAAGAAGGCCUCGGUUGUAAGCGACUUUAUCAGAGCGAAAUGCCACUGGCCGAAGUACCCCGUCGGAGCUGACGGUACCUGAGGAAGUAAGACACCGGCUAACUUCGUGCCACG
rnacentral:rRNA from 1 species